ensembl:snRNA U6 U6 spliceosomal RNA
ACGCUCACUUCAGAAACACGUAUACUAAGAUUGGAUCAAUGCAGAGAUUAGCAUGGCCCCUGCACAAGGAUGGCACACAAAUUUAUGAAACAUUCCGUAGUUCA